UACGUAGGGUGCAAGCGUUUGUCCGGAAUUAUUGGGCGUAAAGAGCUCGUAGGCGGUCUGUCGCGUCGGCUGUGAAUCCCGAGGCUCAACCUCGGGUCUGCAGUCGAUACGGGCAGGCUAGAGUUCGGUAGGGGAGACUGGAAUUCCUGGUGUAGCGGUGAAAUGCGCAGAUAUCAGGAGGAACACCGGUGGCGAAGGCGGGUCUCUGGGCCGAUACUGACGCUGAGGAGCGAAAGCGUGGGGAGCGAACAGG
rnacentral:rRNA from 1 species